rnacentral:tRNA from 1 species
GGUGUUGUGGCUCAAUGGUAGAGUGCUUGCCUAGCAUGCAGGAGGCACUGAGUUCGAGCCUCAGCAUCACAU